rnacentral:rRNA from 2 species
AGUUUGAUCAUGGCUCAGGACGAACGCUGGCGGCGUGCCUAAUACAUGCAAGUCGAGCGGACAGAUGGGAGCUUGCUCCCUGAUGUUAGCGGCGGACGGGUGAGUAACACGUGGGUAACCUGCCUGUAAGACUGGGAUAACUCCGGGAAACCGGGGCUAAUACCGGAUGGUUGUCUGAACCGCAUGGUUCAGACAUAAAAGGUGGCUUCGGCUACCACUUACAGAUGGACCCGCGGCGCAUUAGCUAGUUGGUGAGGUAACGGCUCACCAAGGCGACGAUGCGUAGCCGACCUGAGAGGGUGAUCGGCCACACUGGGACUGAGACACGGCCCAGACUCCUACGGGAGGCAGCAGUAGGGAAUCUUCCGCAAUGGACGAAAGUCUGACGGAGCAACGCCGCGUGAGUGAUGAAGGUUUUCGGAUCGUAAAGCUCUGUUGUUAGGGAAGAACAAGUGCCGUCAAAUAGGGCGGCACCUUGACGGUACCUAACCAGAAAGCCACGGCUAACUACGUGCCAGCAGC